rnacentral:rRNA from 1 species
CUCAUUAAAAGAGUGCGUAAUAGCUCACUGGUCGAGUGACUCUGCGCCGAAAAUUUAACGGGGCUAAACUAUACACCGAAGCUUGGGAUACAUCUAAUGUAUGGUAGGAGAGCGUUCUGUAUGGGGAGAAGUCGUAGCGAAAGCGGCGGUGGACUAUACAGAAGUGAGAAUGCCGGAAUAAGUAGCGAGAAUUAAGUGAGAAUCUUAAUGGCCGAAAGUCUAAGGUUUUUGGAGGAAGGUUCGUCCGCUCCAAGUAAGUCGGGAGCUAAGGUCAGGCCGAAAGGCGUAGCCGAUGCACAUACGGUUGAUAUUCCGUAACCAUCUGUAAUUUAAGCAAAGGGACACUUCAAAAGGGUGUGACCCGGGCGUUGGUUGACCCGGGCGUAAGGGACCGAAAUUAGAGUAGGGAAGCACACUUGGCUGAAGGCGAGAAAAGCUUUGCGUAUAGAAACAGAUGCCCGUACCGCAAACCGACACAGGUGGACAGGAAGAGAAUUCUAAGGCCAGCGGGAGAAGGGUAGUUAAGGAACUCGGCAAAUUGACUCCGUAACUUCGGAAUAAGGAGUGCUCGAAAGAGCCGCAGAGAAUAGGCCCAGGCGACUGUUUAGCAAAAACACAGGUCUCUGCCAAAUCGAAAGAUGAAGUAUAGGGGCUGACACCUGCCCGGUGCCGGAAGGUUAAGAGGAGGAGUGAGAGCUCCGAAUUGAAGCCCCGGUAAACGGCGGCCGUAACUAUAACGGUCCUAAGGUAGCGAAAUUCCUUGUCGGGUAAGUUCCGACCCGCACGAAUGGUGUAACGAUCUGGGCACUGUCUCAACUACCCACCCGGCGAAAUUGUAGUACCGGUGAAGAUGCCGGUUACCUGCGGCAAGACGGAAAGACCCCAUGGAGCUUUACUGUAGCCUGAUAUUGGGUUUCGGAAAUCUAUGUACAGGAUAGGCGGGAGACUUGGAAACAUGAGCGUCAGCUUGUGUGGAGUCGAUGUUGGGAUACCGCCCUUAGGUUUCUGGAAUUCUAACCUGCGGCCGUGAAUCCGGUCGGGGGACAUUGUCAGGUGGGCAGUUUGACUGGGGCGGUCGCCUCCGAAAAGGUAACGGAGGCGCUCAAAGGUUAGCUCAGCACGGACGGAAACCGUGCCUCUGAGUGUAAACGCAAAAGCUAGCCUAACUGCGAGGGUGACGGCCCGAGCAGUAACGAAAGUUGGAGUUAGUGAUCCGGCGGUAUGUGAAUGGAAAUGCCGUCGCUCAACGGAUAAAAGCUACCCUGGGGAUAACAGGCUGAUCUCCCCCAAGAGUCCACAUCGACGGGGAGGUUUGGCACCUCGAUGUCGGCUCAUCACAUCCUGGGGCUGUAUUCGGUCCCAAGGGUUCGGCUGUUCGCCGAUUAAAGUGGUACGCGAGCUGGGUUCAGAACGUCGCGAGACAGUUCGGUCCCUAUCUGUCGUGGGCGCAGGAUAUUUGAGGAGCUCUGUCCUUAGUACGAGAGGACCGGGAUGGACGUACCUCUGGUGCACCAGUUGUCAUGCCAAUGGCACGGCUGGGCAGCUAUGUACGGAACGGAUAAACGCUGAAAGCAUCUAAGCGUGAAGCCGACUCCAAGAUUAGAUAUCCCAUCGUAUAACGAGUAAGACCCCUUGAAGACUACGAGGUUGAUAGGCUGCGUGUGUAAGUGCCGUGAGGCAUUCAGCUUGGCAGUACUAAUAGGUCGAGGGCUUGACCA